rnacentral:rRNA from 1 species
UACGUAGGGGGCUAGCGUUGUCCGGAAUCAUUGGGCGUAAAGAGCGUGUAGGCGGCCCGAUAAGUCCGCUGUGAAAGUCCAGGGCUCAACCCUGGGAUGCCGGUGGAUACUGUCGGGCUCGAGUCCGGAAGAGGAGUGUGGAAUUCCUGGUGUAGCGGUGAAAUGCGCAGAUAUCAGGAGGAACACCGGUGGCGAAGGCGGGUCUCUGGGCCGAUACUGACGCUGAGGAGCGAAAGCGUGGGGAGCGAACAGG